AAGAUCAUACUUCACAGGAUCAUUUCUGUAGUAUAUCUUACUCCGUUCUAAACCAACGGACAAAUUGAUGCAUCCACGAUGAGGAGAUAUAGCAUCUCUUCCUGAGCGUGAGGAAGACUUGUGGUGUUGACUUUGUUUCAAUGCCUCAGUCGUCGAUGAUCGUUCCUUUUUUGUACUCAGUACAAGAGAGUGGGAAAGGAUGCUUUCUGAGUGGU
rnacentral:snoRNA from 1 species